rfam:Tncultured bacterium AD12-E7 genomic sequence.
CGCUUCCAGGGGUAACCUUGGGAGUGAUUAAGCAGAAGUCAGCAGAGGCCAUAGUAGUCAAAUACCUACCGUAAUGGAUAGGACACGGCGAAGGGC